GUCUGAGAUGGCUAUUCCCUGCUCGUCUCACAGCUAUUCGUCGGGGUAUACUUAUAGAGCACAGAAGCGGAGCAUAGAGGCUCUUGGGACACAUUGCAUCAGGCCUGCAGUUAAGAAGCUGAAAGAAAAGAUCUGAGUGACAUGGGAACAUGAUAGCAGAGGAAACUGAGGCACAGAGACAGGAGGAGACUUUUCCAAGGUCACCCAUCAGGUCAGUGGGAGAUCGUGCAUUGGAGCGCAGGAGUUCAGGAGUCUGUAUUACACCAUGACUACAGUCAAGCUCUGAGAGGAUCCCAGGAGGAGACAAGCCAAGGCAU